GGGGUUGAUUUGGCUUCGACAGGAGCUGUAUCGCUUGAGCUGCAUACCAGCUGCACGCUGUAAAACUGCAAACAACAAUAAACGCAAAUAAUACAAAUUACGCUCCAGCUUACGCAAAAGUCGCGUGAGUUUAACUACUCUUAGGAGCUGAUUAGCUUGGUGAUACUAGCUAACCUUUCUAAUCAUAACACUAGCUAGUUGCUCUUAUGAUCUGCCAAACUCAUAAGAAAAGACUUUGGUUGCUUGUGUAUUUUGUUUUGGGGAUAGAGCAGAUACACAAAAAGAUUUUUCAAUCCUAUCUAAGUAUGUAGACGCUCUUGUUGGGUAUGGUUUUUGGACUGGGGUUCGAUUCCCCACAACUCCACCA
rnacentral:tmRNA from 2 species